AGUAGCGGCUCCUUAUCAGGUGUCCUGCAAGUUACCCGACUUGCAUGACGAAACGGGAAGCCGGUGAGCCAUAAAGCGAUUCCGGCGCUGCCCCCGCAACGGUAAUUGAGUAGAAAGUUGGGCAAAAAGCCACUGCACGGAAGUGUGGGAAGGCGCUCAACCUGGGCCAAUCAAGGCACACUCAUAAGCCCGGAGACCGGCCUGCUAGGCAACGAUGGU
rfam:Solemya elarraichensis gill symbiont isolate Se-Cadez Svelesiana_sym_scaffold56, whole genome shotgun sequence.